UCUGGACUCCACGGCCCAAUCAAUGCCCAUCUCCCUGAUUCUCCUCCGGCUCAUCCGUCGCUGGCGACGGCAGUUUCUACCGCUUCCGCCGCCGCCGCACCGAAAAGGGAUUUCCUCCCGUCUCCCCAGGAUUGGUGAAUUGAUCAAGAACAUACACAUUUUCCACAUCCUUCUUCAGCUGUUCUACCCUAUCAAGUAAAGCUUUGAAUCCAUGCUGUACAGCAUCUGCAGGAGACAAGCAUGUUACCAUCUGACACGUGAUAUGAGGGGCAUGGUACCUCAGAUCCUUACCAACUAAUACCACUUCUAUGCCAAGCAAUGAACGCCACACCGAUGCCAAGAUUACUACUUGUGACCCCCAGAAGCGUUGUGAUGCCAGGUGUGAUCAAGCCUUUCUCCUCUGCAUCUUCGAUCAAUCUGCAAAAGAUUUCAUUCAUUCAUAUUGUUGUCUAUACUCAUGAUGUUACGAAUGGUACAUUUGAGGUGAAUAAUUUCUUCCUCGGAAUGGAGUAAAAAAGAGUAGCCACCUGAGAGCACUCCGAUCUUUCACAGAGGAAAGGGGCUGGUAUGGCUCAAUCUUCCCAAUCAGCCGUCUUUCUCAGCGAUGUUUCUCAGUUCUAUCAGUGGUGUCCAACCAAUGAGCUGGAAAGCAUAGAAUUUACUUGCAGAUUAAAGAUAACAAGCUUUGUACAGUGAAGGAAUAAUGACUAUAUACAGAGUACUAGGCACCUGCGUGAUGUUGGUGACGAUGCACUCCCCUUGUGAGGACAGAAGAGAUGGUAUCCCUUUCCUUCCUUCCUGCGGCUCCAUUACUCUGGUACUUAUUUUGCAACAAAUAAAACUAGAAGACCUAGCAAGCUCGAAUGUCUUGAACAAAUGGAUGCACAGAAAUAAGAGGCGCUCCAGCAUUCAAUGAUGUUAUAUAGCUGAGAAGUCCCAUUCUGAUGGUAUACUACAUGGAUAAAUUAAUACUGGAUUUGGAGGUUUCAGGGAAUUGUCCCUGAAACUUCCAUCCAGACAUUUUUUUAAUUGAAGUUUGUUGACAUAUGACACUACAUCAGUGUGCAGCAUGCCAAUGAGAUAUCAAAUUCAGAAACCACCGAUUGGAUAGAAGCCUAGAACUUGGAACACAAGUUUCCCUGCAUGACAAGAAACGACCCAUCGGUUGGAGGCCUGGAACUUGGGCCACAAGUUUCCCUGCUUAGAGAACAAGACAAUCAACCAUCAUGCAGAGGGUGAAAAGGAACAUUGUUCAGGUUGCAAAGUACCAAAUGUAGCCGUUGUUAGUUUCGUGGCCUGUGACUUCAAUGCAAGUUGAGACGACUGGUUACGUACUCAUGAACUGAAGAUGCUGGAGUAAUCAACAGAGAUUUGUUUGGCAAGCUUCCCUGCUCUCUGAAAAGAUAAUUAGUUAAGGUGUGUGCUAUGACCUAUGAAACAACUCGCUGUUGUUUUGUUCAUGGCCUUGCUAUCUAAUUUUCACUGUUUUAGUCGGGUUUUUUUUUUAAAAAAAAAAUGCUUGUUUCUCACCUUCUUGGUGUAUUGGAUUAUUACAUAGAAAAGAAAACAUUCACCGGAGUUUAUCUA